UAUUCCUACGAACGGAAACUACUUGAAAAUUCAUAGAAACUAAACUAACUACCGUAGACUAUGCAUCUUAAAGAUACUUUAUUAAUUAACCUAAAGAUAAUUAAUUAUGUGAUCAAUAAGAUAUUGAUCCAUCACUUCAUUAAUUCUUCCUUCCAUUGUCUCCCUUAGGUGGAGAUGGAACUGGUGGAUGCAUGAAUGGCCAUGGAUGAUGGUGAGCCCAUGGAUAAGGAAACCUAGGAUGAAUGAAUGGCCAUGGCCGAGGAUGUAUCCAUGGAUGAGGAUGAAAACCACCAGCUGGCAUAGGAGGAUGAACGAAUGGCCAUGGAUGUGGAUGAAAUCCAUGAGCGGGCAUUGGAGGAUGAGGAUGGAACCAUGGAUGGUACCAAUCUAGUCCCUUAUCAUUAGCAUGUGUAGUUGCACUUUCAUCAUGUGAGGAUGAAUCAGUUUUCUCACUUGCAAAACAUAAGUUCACAAUAAGUAGGAAAAUG